UGGGACGCCAGGCGACCGCUGUGGUUCUCCUUUCACUUCAGAAUCCAUUACGCCAGGGUAGACCUAGAGGAGAACGCCAGUCUUCUGCAGAUCAAGAGUGACGUUUUAAAGGCUCUAGGUGAACGCUUUUUAGAAUACAGAAGAUACGCUCAAAACUUAAAGAGGAAAUCUGAAAGUAAAAGAAAGGAAUGUGCAUUGAGGAAGAGCAAGAAAAGGAAGAUCGUCUGGUCGUCUGAGUUCUCCGUGGUCUCUCCAUGCCUCCGUCUCCUCUAGACGACAGGAUUGUGGUGGCGCUGCCAAGGCCUUUACGCCCUCAGGACCUCGGACUGCGCCGGGACACCAGCUCCCUGGAAGAAGCCAUCGAGGUGAAGAUCCAGGACACCAAGCUUUCGUAUAUGCCCUCGUCCAGCGGCUCCACGCGCUCGCUGACGUGUGGAUGCAGCAGUGCCAGCUGUUGCACCGUGACCACCUACGAGAAAGACGUUCGGGUCAGCGCCAGCAGUCCUAACUUAAACUCUGGCGUGGGAUAUGGCGUUCACGUGCCGGUGGGACACGGGAGUGCGCCGAGUCUCACCUCAAGCUUGAUUAGGGGAGGCAUGCGGGUCAUCCACCCUAACGAGCUCGCUAAGAAGCUCACGCAAUGCCCGCUGGGACACCCGAUCGGCCCGGUUCCGGUCAUCAUCGACUGUCGACCGUUCAUGGAGUUCAACAAGAGCCACAUCCGAGGCGCCGUGCACAUCAACUGCUCGGAUAAGAUCAGCCGGCGACGGCUCCAGCAGGGGAAGAUCACGGUGUUGGAUCUCAUCUCCUGCCGGCACAGCAAGGACUCCUUCAAAGGGAUUUUCUCCAAAGAGUUGGUGGUGUACGAUGAGACCACGGUGGAUCCGGGCCGGCUGACGCCCUCGCAGGCCCUGCAUGUGGUUCUGGAGUCGCUGAGGAGGGAAGGGAAGGACCCCGUCGUUCUUAAAGGAGGCCUUUCCGGGUUCCGGCAGAACCACGAUAAUCUGUGUGAGCACUCGCUUCACCUGGAGGAAGGACCGGACGGCAGUACCGCGAUGGGCCUGUCGGGGGCGCUACCUCUUUCCCUGCCCUCCACACCUGACAUCGAGAACGCGGAGCUGACGGCCAUCCUGCCCUUCCUUUACCUGGGCAACGAACGCGACGCUCAAGACCUGGAGUUGAUGCAGCGCAUGGACAUCGGGUUCAUCCUGAACGUCACCACACACCUGCCGCUCUUCCACUACGAGCUCGGCCUCUUCAACUACAAGCGCUUCCCCGCCACCGACAGCAACAAGCAGAACCUGCGGCAGUACUUCGAGGAGGCUUUCGAGUUCAUAGAAGAGGCUCAUCAGGCCGGUCGAGGACUCCUCAUCCACUGCCAGGCCGGUGUGUCUCGAUCCGCCACCAUCGUCAUCGCAUACCUGAUGAAACACACCUGGAUGACCAUGACUGACGCUUACAAGUUCGUCAAAUCCCGGCGGCCCAUCAUCUCGCCAAAUCUCAACUUCAUGGGUCAGCUUUUAGAGUUUGAAGAAGAUCUGAAUAACGGCGUCACUCCACGUAUACUGACGCCCAAACUCACCGGCGUCGAGACCGUCGUAUAAGAUCUCUAAUUCCCACAUGGAAUAUGCUCUUGUUGCCAUUUUAGACACUCUCUUGGACGAGGAUUUGGAGACUUGCAUGAGGAAAAUGACCCGUCCUUGAAAGGUGCAGAUUGUGUUCCUUUGGUGUUGAGCUGAUGCGAAAGGUGUGUUUGUGCGAUCGACCCGGAGCAUCUGAAUCCGCCUCAAGGAUUUAAAGGGCAAAAACCCUCCGGUUGCGCUCAUCCCAUUUUGCAGCCGCAGACGGUACACGUAUUUGCUAAUGGAUUUCUAUGCAUUGUUUAUAUUUUUGCACUGACUUAAAAAAAGCUUUUCAUUUCUUUCUUUUUUCUUUUUUUUUAAUAAAUAUUAUUAUUAUUUUUCCCUCAAAGGUGCUAUGACGCUGGAGGCCUUCCACGAUGUUUUUGCAUGACCUGCUUUGGUAAAGUGUCUUCCUGUAAGCCAAGAGCUCUCUUUAAAUGUCAGAGUUCAAAACACUGUUAUUUUGUAAUGUGGGGUUUGGAAAUAAACGACAAAAAAAGAAACGA